rnacentral:rRNA from 1 species
UGGGGAAUAUUGCACAAUGGGGGAAACCCUGAUGCAGCGACGCCGCGUGAGCGAAGAAGGUUUUCGAAUCGUAAAGCUCUGUCCUCUGGGAAGAUAAUGACGGUACCAUAGGAGGAAGCCCCGGCUAACUACGUGCCAGCAGCCGCGGUAAUACGUAGGGGGCAAGCGUUGUCCGGAAUCACUGGGCGUAAAGGGUUCGCAGGCGGAAAUGCAAGUCAGUUGUGAAAGGCAGAGGCUCAACCUCUGUAAGCAAUUGAAACUGUAUUUCUUGAGAUGUGGAGAGGCAAGUGGAAUUCCUAGUGUAGCGGUGAAAUGCGUAGAUAUUAGGAAGAAUACCGGUGGCGAAGGCGACUUGCUGGACACUAACUGACGCUGAGGAACGAAAGCGUGGGUAGCAAACAGG